AGCGAACGCUGGCGGCAGGCUUAACACAUGCAAGUCGAGCGGGCAUCCUUGUGGUGUCAGCGGCAGACGGGUGAGUAACGCGUGGGAACGUGCCCUUCGGUUCGGAAUAACUCAGGGAAACUUGAGCUAAUACCGGAUACGUGCGAGAGCAGAAAGGUUUAUCUGCCGAAGGAUCGGCCCGCGUCUGAUUAGCUAGUUGGUGAGGUUACGGCUCACCAAGGCGACGAUCAGUAGCUGGUCUGAGAGGAUGAUCAGCCACACUGGGACUGAGACGCGGCCCAGACUCCUACGGGAGGCAGCAGUGGGGAAUAUUGGACAAUGGGGGCAACCCUGAUCCAUCCAUGCCGCGUGAGUGAUGACGGCCUUAGGGUUGUAAAGCUCUUUUCUCCGGGACGAUAAUGACGGUACCGGAGGAAUAAGCCCCGGCUAGCUUCGUG
rnacentral:rRNA from 1 species